UUAACACUAGUGUGGCAGCUGUGGUUAGGGAGCCGUGAUGUUGCACAUUCAUUAAUGUGUCUCUUAUCCCUUAUGGGAAGAGGGAAUGAUAAACUGGCAGUACCUUGAACCAUGGUGGUGUGAUUGUGUCAGCAUGUGUAUUUGUGUGUGUUGAGGGACACUGAGCUUCACUGCUAGCCAAAUUGGUGCCCUAUCCUACCUCAGCUGGACGGUGGAGGGGGGGAGAGAUGCGAGUGCUGUGGUGAUGUGAGCCUGGUGCUUCUCAACAAGUCCAAAACAACCUUCAGGUCACCUUGCCAAAAUAAAUGCUAAAUGUCAACGGCGUGGCUUUAGCCAGCACUGGGCUCAAGGCGGCUCCAAUCAAGGAGAGUUUGAUCUGAAAUUGAAAUGCCAGAGAAGAGCUUGUUUGGAAUUAUGAUGUUUUAGAAUGACUUUGCAUCCGGUUUGUAUGUGGAUUAGUCUUAAGUAAGGACCACCUGCUGUGCUUUUAUAGGCUAAACCGAUGUAGUCAGAUUCUAAAUUAAAGCCCUCUCCCUUUAAGAUCUCAAAUUCUCCAUCACUCAUUUUCCUCCAUGUUCAAAUGACACAUAAGAGCCUUUCAAAGUCAUCAAGCCACACCUCCCUAUACCUUUGUCAUUCCCUCACCCCUUCCUUCUUCCCUUUUUUCACUGUCAGACAUGUGAGGUGAUGACCUGCACUUCACUUGUCUUUCUGGAAGAAGUGCGAACUUCUGCUGGCACAAAUAUGAAAUACAGCUCACAUGCAAACACACAUAUACACACAUACACACGGACCCUCCCACCCCCAUCAGACUCCCGGACCCCAUCUGCACUCUCCUCUCUCCAGCCCCCUAAUUGCAUAUGCACAAAUGCAAAUGUCUAUUAAUUAAUUACUUGACUAAUUAGUGCAGUGGUAUUUUAGGGCGAUAAAUCAAGUGGAGAUGGGGCCGAGGACGGCGGGGCAGGAGGAGGGCUGCACGGAGCAUCGACAAUGAACCCACACCAGAGGGAGUAAUCCUAAUGUACAAGGCUUGUGUGCGUGUGUGUGCUGUGCAGAAAAUGUGCACACCAGAGAUCCUGAAGUAAAGCACCGUUUAAAAAUGCUGAAGAGACCAAAGAGGUGACUGAGGGAGGUGAGUACUUUCUGUCUGGAAGAGGAGGUGAGAAAGGUAGCCAGAGAGAGGGGAGGCGGGGGGAGAGAAGAAAUUGAGGUAGGUUGAGAGAUGACCUCUGCUCUGCCAACUGUGCUGCUUCCUGGCACGCGGCCAAGCUUGGAUGCUCGUUGCACCUAUUUUCAUAAAGGAGAAGGGAUCAGCUACAUACUAGGACUGCUCCUACUGAUCCAUAUUUAUGCUCACAUUGUAAACCUUGUACAAUAGUUCAAUGAGCAUAACAGUUGGCAUCAUUUACGCAGCGAUACUGAUGUGAUAAUUGUGGCAUCUGUGAUUGGGAGGUGAAUAAUUCUGGCAGCCAUGGUAAGCUGUGUAUUCGUCUAUGUAUGUGUGUGUGUGUGCCUGUAGGUGUGCCAGGCCCCCACCAUAGGUACCCAUGGAGAUCUCCGGACUGAAAUAUUCAUUCUUGUUUGCUCGCCCAGACAGUGUGGUCCUAAUUGCAGCAUCAGAAAGCUCCACCUCUCCCUCUCGUCUGGCUUGGCUGCAGCAGAGAUAAACCUCAUCUGGGAGCAGGAUGUCUCUGGCGAAUAUGAGGCUCUGGAGUUUUUCAUCAGUUCCCGUGCCAACCCUACCCAUGCCUGGCCAAGCUGAACCAUCUUGUGGGAUUUUUGGCUUUUAAUUAUACACUCAGUGUACCACUCCAGAUGAUGGCUUCCACAGAUGGCACCCAGUGGUUGAAGGAACCUGAUUCAAUCAGACAACCUGGUUUGGCGUCAAACAUCCACCCUGCU